GUCGAACGAUGAAGCCGCUUCGGUGGUGGAUUAGUGGCGAACGGGUGAGUAACACGUGGGUAAUCUGCCCUGCACUCUGGGAUAAGCCUUGGAAACGGGGUCUAAUACCGGAUACGACACGUCACCGCAUGGUGUGCGUGUGGAAAGUUCCGGCGGUGCAGGAUGAACCCGCGGCCUAUCAGCUUGUUGGUGGGGUAAUGGCCUACCAAGGCGACGACGGGUAGCCGGCCUGAGAGGGUGACCGGCCACACUGGGACUGAGACACGGCCCAAACUCCUACGGGAGGCAGCAGUGGGGAAUCUUGCGCAAUGGGCGAAAGCCUGACGCAGCAACGCCGCGUGGGGGAUGACGGCCUUCGGGUUGUAAACCUCUUUCGACAGGGACGAAGCUUUCGGGUGACGGUACCUGUAGAAGAAGCACCGGCUAACUACGUGCCAGCAGCCGCGGUAAUACGUAGGGUGCGAGCGUUGUCCGGAUUUAUUGGGCGUAAAGAGCUCGUAGGCGGUUUGUCGCGUCGGCCGUGAAAACCUGCAGCUUAACUGUGGGCGUGCGGUCGAUACGGGCAGACUUGAGUUCGGCAGGGGAGACUGGAAUUCCUGGUGUAGCGGUGAAAUGCGCAGAUAUCAGGAGGAACACCGGUGGCGAAGGCGGGUCUCUGGGCCGAUACUGACGCUGAGGAGCGAAAGCAUGGGGAGCGAACAGGAUUAGAUACCCUGGUAGUCCAUGCCGUAAACGUUGGGCGCUAGGUGUGGGGAUGGGUUCCACCGUUUCCGUGCCGUAGCUAACGCAUUAAGCGCCCCGCCUGGGGAGUACGGCCGCAAGGCUAAAACUCAAAGGAAUUGACGGGGGCCCGCACAAGCGGCGGAGCAUGUGGAUUAAUUUGAUGCAACGCGAAGAACCUUACCUGGGUUUGACAUGCACUAGACAGCCGUAGAGAUACGGUUUCCCUUGUGGUUGGUGUACAGGUGGUGCAUGGCUGUCGUCAGCUCGUGUCGUGAGAUGUUGGGUUAAGUCCCGCAACGAGCGCAACCCUUACCCUACGUUGCCAGCGGGUUAUGCCGGGG
rnacentral:rRNA from 2 species